CCACACGAAAUGGAUUGAGAAUCGAGUCGGCGUCGUUGGCUUCGUUCAGUGACGCACGUCACAUCAAGAUCAGUUGAGUAGUGAUCUCGCUCGAAAGCCGACGAAUUGUACGCACGACGCACACGUGCUGCCCGUGCCCAUCCCUUCUCCGCACCGUGUCCGAGCGUUCCGCCGCCGCUCGCUCGGCGUCAACCCAUCGACACCACGCCAACGGUACCGUUCUCAUCGGUGCCUUUGCCUUGCAUAACCUAUACCUUCUUGGUAUAUUAAUUAUUAUGUAAUGCAGAAGUAAACAUUGCAUCCAAACCACGUGUGCGUACCGGCCGGUAAAUCAUAUCAUCGUUGUUCUAAGACCAUCCAGUUCUUUAAGUACCUACUCCGGAACUGAGACCCGAAUUUAUACUAAAAUUAUAUAAGUAAAUGUCAUCAAAUAAGUGCAAGUUUUAAAACAUAAAUUUCAAGAGUACCUUAAUUAAGUAGGUACCUACUACUUUUAUUAUUGUGUUGUUUGAGUUAAAAAUAACUUCAGUGAAAUGUCUAAUUCAGUGGAGCAGCAGUUUAGCGAGCUUACUCUAUCCCAGGAGGAUCAUGAUCAAAUAUUCGAACAGGACGAUCACCAAGAAAGCCGAUCAUCAAAGGUGGUACUCAUCAGUGGGCUCCCUCUUCAUGUUCGAUUCGACAACAUCGAGCCUCUGCUCUCACAGUACGGCAACGUGCAGCAUUGCGACAAAGUGAGCUCUCGCGAUGCCAACACCCAAGCGGUGUACAUCACGUUCGAGACGCCGGAGCAGGCGCAACAAGCCAUCAAUGGGUUGAACGGGUGCGAGUUCGAAGGUAGCCGCAUGAAGGUGGAAGCGGCAGAGCAGAACGCUCGCGGAGGACGGCGUGGACGUCCGGGCGGCGGCCGCGGCGGCGGCGGCGCUCCCGGCGGCGGCUCUCGCCCCACCGACUUCCCGUUGAGGCUUCUGGUGCAAAGCGACAUGGUGGGCGCAAUCAUCGGCCGCCAAGGCAGCACCAUCCGCCUCAUCACGCAGCAGAGCCGCGCACGUGUCGACGUCCACCGCAAAGACAAUGUCGGCUCCCUAGAAAAAGCCAUCACCAUCUAUGGCAACCCCGAAAAUUGCACUAAUGCCUGCAAGAGAAUACUGGAGGUGAUGCAGCAGGAGGCCAACAACACUAAUAAGGGUGACAUUUGCCUGAAAAUAUUGGCGCAUAACAACCUGAUAGGAAGAAUCAUAGGCAAGGGUGGAAUCACUAUCAAAAGAAUCAUGCAGGAAACUGAUACCAAAAUCACUGUCUCUUCUAUAAAUGAUAUAAAUAGCUUCAAUUUGGAGCGUAUCAUCACUGUGAAAGGUACAAUUGAGAACAUGGCUAAAGCGGAGUCACAAAUUUCAGCAAAAUUGCGCCAGAGCUAUGAAAAUGAUUUGCAGGUGCUGGCGCCGCAAAGCAUAAUGUUCCCGGGUUUGCACCCGAUGGCGAUGAUGUCGACCGGCCGCGGUUUCUGUGGCGCUCCCCCGCCAUUCCCCCCGCCUAUUUACGCCCCCCUGGCUGGCCAGGGCGGUGCGCAACAAGGCGCAGGAGACUCACAGGAAACCACGUAUUUGUACAUACCGAACAACGCCGUGGGAGCUAUCAUUGGCACAAAGGGUUCACACAUUCGCAACAUAAUCCGGUUCAGCAGCGCCUCCGUAAAGAUAGCUCCACUUGAACAAGAUAAACAGGGCGCAGAGGCCCAGAACAAUGCCCAGCAGGAGCGCAAAGUUACCAUUGUCGGCAGCCCUGAGGCCCAGUGGAAGGCGCAAUAUCUUAUCUUCGAAAAGAUGAGGGAGGAAGGGUUCAUGUCUGGGUCUGACGAUGUUCGGCUGACAGUGGAAAUCGUGGUGGCGUCGUCACAGGUGGGCCGCAUCAUCGGCAAGGGUGGGCAGAAUGUGCGCGAGCUGCAGCGCGUCACUGGGUCGCUGAUCAAGCUGCCUGAGCAGCCGCAGCAACAGGGCGUCCAACAAGACCACGAUACCACCGUGCACAUCGUCGGACCAUUCUACAGCGUCCAGCUGACAUCUGAAGCUGGCUGAGAGUUGAAGCCGCCUGUUCACUUCAUGAUCAAUGUGCGAUGACAAAGCACUACUGAAUGGCCAUUUUAACCAUUGAUACGCCUAAAUAUAGAGCGCGCAACGUCGCAUCCGCGCGAUGGUGGCGCAGGCCAGCGCGCCGGGCCGCCGCCGAGCCGCCACUGCGUCCGGCGCCGCCCCGCCUACGCAGUAAACACUCGCUCUACAUCAACUCCACCUCACCCUCAGUCCUCGUGUGUCCAAAUGUUGUUGUUGACAUAAUUAUAUUAACGUAGUCAAAUGUAAUUUAAAUACUAUUGAUAAAUCCAUAUUUUAUCCCCGGAUUAUCUAUGUUGAUGAAUUUGAAUAUAAUAUAUAUUAUUCAUAUACACUAUUUUUUUUAAAGGUAGCACCGGUUAUACAAAUUUAGCGCCGUGAAUAUAUUUAAUUGUUAUAUUGUUUUCAUGCCAUGUUAUUCUGAUACAUUGUAAAGAGUUGUCAUAGUUGCAAUAGUGAACAAUUAUGUUAUCUAUACAUAUACACACGUUGAUACAAUAGCUAUAUUACCAGAUUACCACACCAUUAUUAUACAAACGAGAGGAAGUUCAUAUUUUGUUUUGUUAUAAACUAAUAGAUUAAUCUGUUAAAUCACUACAUAUACUGUUAACUAUGAUUUAAAAGGGUGUGUGUGGGAUACAAAUUAGCUAGGAAUGGUUAAAAUUUACAACAUCGCUUUACUGAGGAGGCUCAAUGGACAAACGGAUGCUUUGCGAAUAAAAUGUAAGAAUUUUUGAAAACGAUACUUGGAAUUUCUACAUGCAUACUAAUGAAGGAGUUGUACAAUGAAUUUUAUAAUUGACAUGUGCGUUGGGUGUUAGUAACGAAUCCAAAGAGUGGCGCCGGCGCAGCCGCGUCGUCGCCGCGAGCCUUGACUAGACUGGCGAGCGGCCCCGGCCCUCCCCGCAUUACGGAGAUGAGAAUCCACACACGAUGGAUAUAAAUAUUUUUGAUAUACUAGUAAUUGUUGGAGAGUAAGGAGUAAAUGUAUGAGUUUUAUUUGUAAGGGACAUUUGUUGAUCGUUUUCUUUGUAAUUUUUGUCUUUGUUAGCUUUAUAAUGUUUUCUUGUAUUGAUUCUGUAUUGAAUUGAAAGAAUUUGGAAAUUAAGACGAUACCGUAGUGUUAUUGGUGAGAGUGGAAGCGUCGCGUAAUUAGUGUUUGGUUCGUGAUAUGUUUAUGGAUUCAAUUGUAGGAUUUGCGUUAUAAUUGUGCCAAGUGAGAUAUUUAAAUGAGAGAUUAAGAUUAAGUGGAUAAUAUCAAAAUUAAUGAAAGCUUAGAUAUUUAUAUUUAUAAAUGUGAUAAUAAUAUAUGGAAGUUUUGGCAAAAAUGUUACUAAGAAGUAAUUUGUACUUUUUUACAUUCUUGUUUCUUUCCUUGAUUUUAGGUUAGAAUUUUAAAUAUUAAACCAAUACCUACAGUAGAAAUCUACACAGUUCCACCAAACGGUCUGUGAUAAACCUCUGAUACCUACUUUCGAAAUUAUUUCGAGAACUAAUCUCCAAAACUUCAAAAUACUCUGCAAAUGGCAGCCCAAAAAACUCCGCUCGUCCCCAUUCAUAUUGUCCUCGAAAGUACUUAAUUUUUUAAUUCGCUUACUUAAAACAUGAUAUCUUUUCAAACAUAUUUGCUUUGAACUCCCCCAAUUUUAAACUAGUUAGACCAUCGACAGUUUUGUAUUGCUUCCACAUAUUAUUGAUAUUAAUCUCACGUUUGGCAAUUUAUUCCGUUUCGGCAAGCAAAUAUCAAUUCUUUGUGUCUCCCUCUAUAUAACAAAGAGUGAGGCUUUGCAUUCGUAGUAUACAGCAAAUUGAGAUUAUGUAUAGAAAUCGUUGCUUUACUUCGAAUGUAAAAACUGAAUGAGUUCCAUCUCUUGAUGACUUUGUAUUUGGAUCUAGUUGCCGAAAUAGUUUAAUAAUACCUAAUGGCAGUUCAGUAUUGAAUGUUUAUUAAUGAUCAAUCACCGGUGGUCAUAUGCGACCGGAAAACUACGGUUUUCUAUUUUACUUCUCCUUGAAGCGUAAUAAACGGCCAUAUUGGAACUGUCAUUUGGUGAGUAAAUGAUUGAAACAUCUACAGGUUUUACUUCUAAAUGUACAUAUGACACUAAAUGUAAAAUGUAUGCAUGGCAAGUUAUUUGAUGUUCCCGUUGUUAUUUAAGUAGGUACCUAGUAAAACCUCACACCGGGGUACUCAAGGGGUUCUAAAAUAUUCCCUAAUUUGUAAUAUAACAACGUACAGAAUGAGGUAAAUAGCUCAUUUGAUUAUACUGCCAUUUCUUCUAGCCAUUUAACUAGGCGAGGUAUCUUAUUUUAGAUGUAAAAUCUGUGCAGUUUCCGAACAUAUUGCGAAUAUAGAAAAUAAAAUAAGCUUCCGUCUAAUACAAGCAGACGGUUAUCGACUUACUGGCAAAAUGGCAUUUGUGUCAUUUCACGAACAGAAUUUCAUAAAGAAAAUGGAGCUAGAACAAUGCUUAUACAACAACCUUAGCAGAUUAACUCUAAAGAACAAAACAUGGUCAUUCUCCACACAGCCUACUGCUACUAUUACCAACCAUCCUCGGGCUCGAGCCGAGAUAUGUCAUACUUACCUUCGAGUACGAACACGUUUAAAUCAUACAAUAGCUGAUUAUUGUAGCAUGUUUGCAUUUACUGAUUAGUAAUAAUGUCUAGUGUGUCAGAAUCGCGGGUGUACCUCACGGAUUUAAAUAUCUGUUUUGGAUUAAAAACCUACCUGAUGCGUGCCUCAGUUUACCUAUCCUAAAAAUCUGUGUACCUCCUCCUAUGUAAAGAUUUUUAAAUAAGUACACUCGCCAUCCUGACGUCAGGACCGCGGGUGUACCUCUAGUUAGCAUCUGAGGUAAGUAAACUGUAUGUGUAGAUUUGGUACCUCUUGUGUACCUGCAGAAACAAAUAUUAAAUAAAUAAAAAAUAUUAAGAGUACUGAGAAAACACUGAAGGUACACAGAUUUUUAGGAUAGGUACACUGAGGUACACAUCAGGUACGUUUUUAAUCCAAAACAGAUAUUUAAAUCCGCGAGGUACACCCGCGAUUCUGACACACAUAAAUAUUAGGUUGUAUAAACCUACAAAGACUUUGAAAAUGGCGGUCUAUGAAAAUUUUGGCGGUCUCACUUGAGUAUUUCAAGCAAAUGAGGCCGCGACUUGUCCUCUUACCACAUUAUUGAUAAUUUUACUGAGGUAUUUGAUUCUAAACGAGGUUUAGCAUUUAUAUCUUAACAUUCCAUACUUUAAUGACAUAACAUCAUCAGUGCUGAUGUAACUCCUUUAGAGUCAAAUACCUUAAAUUAAUUAAUGUAUAUUUAUACAAUAAAUUUGGUCUAUUGAUGUUAUGUGGUAAGGAAUUUUAAUUAUCUUUAUAUCGGCGACUAUGAAAAAGAAAUAUAUAAUAGUUAUUCGUAAAGUACACGUGUAACGUGCAUUAUAUUCGUACAUUAUGAACGAUAUCACCUUGGUUUUAGAAGAAACUAUGCAUCUUUGACUUUUGUGUGUUGAAUUUUUCGAAUUCAUGUUGGGCAUAACAUUUCCCCACGAUGUACAAUACGUAAACAAUAUACACUGGACAAGAAAUUAGAAUUAAGUUUGGUUGUUGCGCGCGGGCGCCGGUGAGGGGGCGUGGCAGGAGAGUCGCGCCGUCAGCCGUCGGCCGCGCGCUACUCAUUCUGCUUGCAUUCUCUUAUACGAAGGGUUACUUUCACUGCAACUGCAAGAGUGUACAUAAAAGCAUGUUGAUAAUUCCUUCCAAAAUGAGCGAGCAGGGACUUUCAGAAACAAAAAUGUUAAUAUGGAACUUCUAUACUGGACGAAUUUUUGUAUCGAUAUUUUCACCUUUCUACAGUUAUUUGACCCUUAUUGCCUGGAAUAAGAGUCUCCAAUGUCUGUAGUGAUUUUAAAAUUAUGCAUAAAAUUAAAGCCAUAUUCGUUCCGGUUUACAGUCCCUGCGAGCGAAAGAUGAUUACAUUAUAUUUUGGAAUGUUAGGAUGCAGAAAUAGUUUUAGUUGAUUAAUUGUAUCGUUGUGAAGUAGUGUUAAGUUGAGGGUAGGCGCGAGCGGCGCGCGGCUUCGAGACUGAACUACACCCCGCCCCGCGCCCUCGCGUCCCUUACUUGCUAUCAUUCUCGCUGAUAAAUAUUCAUACCUUAUCAUUCUUGUUUGAUGGAUCUACUGUUAUAAUAUUUACAUUAUACUAUUACUUUCUCAUGUGUGUAAUCACGAUUUUGUAUAUUUGACAUAUACUACGUGACUGAUUCUUUUCAUUUUUGUGUAUGAUUUAACUAUAUUUUAAUUGAAUUAAAAUAGUAUCUGUAGUCUGUAUUAGAAUGCAGAUAAAAUAUUAUAGUUACUUAAAGAAUACAAUUACAUUGAUUUAAAAUAUUAUUUUCACGCUAUUUUACACGAUUUCCAUUUAUUGUUAUAAUUUUAUUUAGUGGGGAAUGGAGCACUUAUUCUGUUGUUCGUACUUUACACCCCUCCAGUAUCUACUAUUGAAGUUUUAUUAUAGCAAAUAGUUAUUAUGUACGUAUGUAUUGUAUGUACCUUGUGACCCGACAGUAUAUAGUCGCGUCGGCCGCGCCCGCCAGGGGGCGUCGCAGUAAAACGAGGAGCUAUUAUAGUCGCUUCUGUAUUGAGACCGUAAAUAAACAGCAAACACUGUUUCAUUUAGAACUGUUAUUACAGGCCGAUUUCAAUAUAUUCCACCAAAAUUUAUUUGAAUUUUACUGUUAUUUUUAGAACCAUUUUUAAUUGGUAUAAGUUCUGAAACUAAUAACUACCUCAAUUUUACUAAAUGAAUAUGAUAAUUAUCUUUGUGCAUGUUUUUGGGAACUGAAUUUAAAAGAUUCAUAUAGUAUAAGGAUGCUAUUUUAAACAUCGUAACGGAAAAUUGUCAAAAAUAGGUUUCUUAACGUAAUAAAAGUGAUGAAAAUGAAA